rnacentral:lncRNA from 1 species
CUUGUGCCUGGUUUGUGACUGCCCUCAGCAUCCCUUCUGGGCAGCAGACGCAGUUUGUCAACAUUCUGCUUUUAUGAGAACAGUUUGCUGUUUACUCAUAUAGCCUCCAGUGAUAUACUGAGUUGAUCACGACCCUCACUCUUUUGGCCUGCAACAGUCUCCUCCAGACUGAGGUUGACUGUGAGGUAACUGAAACCACGGAAAGCAAAACUGCCAACAAGAAUGAAUAGGGAGGACCACAAGACAUUUGUCACAUUCCACCAUAGCCUACUUCCAUAUUUGAGAGACACAGAAAGAAGACCCUCUGCAGACACAAGACGUCAGUGCUAUGAUUUUGGACUUCCCAGCCUCCAGAAACAUGAGUCAAUAAAUUUAUGUUCAUUAUAAA